AUUUCGAGCAUUCUCUAUUGAACAGUCGUACAGUGAAGACGUGUUAUAAUUCAAAAGUUUAGUUUCUGGAAAGUGCCAGACAGUGAGUGAGCAACUCUUAGCAGCAGAAGAGUUGCAAUACGUGUGCAAACCUGUUAUACAUACAUAGAUUGUAAUGAAAAAAUGUGAAGGCUGUGAAGAAGAGUGUGAUAUGAUGAGGACGAGCAAAUGGCCUUCGUAACAGAGCGAGUGGUGUGAGUCAUGAGCAACUGCUGUCAAUCAACGCUCACCAGAAGCCUUUGGUCCGGAAUUCACACUCGUUUUCCUGCUCCUCGAAACGUUAAUGGCAACGAUGAGGAGGAACGGAACACUUGACAAACAACAAGAGCAGCCUCACCGAAACAGACAAACAUUAAAUCGAUGGGCAAUGAAAUCGAUACCUACCUACCUACCUGCAUCAUCAAUCAAUCCGAUAAUCGUCUGAUAUGAUUUUCGUUUUAUCACUGAGUGAGUCUUCACGUCUGUCCGUCUUCUACAUCCACAAUGGCAGCCAGUUGCACACCAGCCGAUCCUACACAGUUGGCCGAAACAGCAAAUUAGCAGCGGCAGCAGCAGCAGCAAACACCACCGAGUCUCCCUUAACCAAAAUGCCAGAUGCAGCUGACAGAUAAAUGGGGACAAGGCGGAAUUGCGCGCGGCAGCAGCAGCUUGAGCUCAACAGCAAACACGUGUGUGUGCCUUAGCUUCCUGGUCGGUUACCACCAUCACAACAAUCACUACCUACUAUACAUAAAGCGGUUAGCAGUUGCUGACGGCACCUACUACCACCAAUCCACACAGAUAUCUCUGCAUACACGCGGUAUUCGUAUAUCAGCUGCGAACGCAAAAACAAUUACUUUUUAAAACAGAUUUACAGCAAAAGGAAAACAUGAAAUGGAAUCUCUUCGUCGUUUCGUCGUCGUCGUCGUCGUCGUCAACAUCAUCAGCAACUUCUCAGCAUCGUCGUAUUCUACUUAUCGCUUCACUUCUUCACUUGAAUUUGGUGGCACGUAAGCCGUAUCGAAUUUUUCUUCUUGAUUAACUCUUGAAUUGCAGUUAAGAUAUACAAUGAAAAACUCUUAUCCACACACUCCAUGAAGAGUGAGGGGCUGCACACUUAUCUACAGAUUGAUAGAGGAAUUGGAAUUGGCGAACUUGUAUCGUAAUAUAGGAAGAAGUUUGAUAUUUUGUUUGUCACUAUUGCUAUGUUUAGCAUAAAUACGUGGGCUUCAAUUUUUUUGUAGCGACGCGUCACAGUUGAACAGUGCCUGUGAGCGUCUGGUUUCAUCAAUGGACACUCGCAUCCAUUCCUAGCAUUCAUGGUCUGAAAGUAUAAGAUCAACCUCCUUUAAACGACCGCCAUGAGGACACCUCCUAAACUUUAGGACACAACAUUUCUCGUUUAUAUAUAUUUUUUAGCGACGUGACGCAGUUGAACGGUGCCUGCGUGCGUCUGCAAGGAUAUGACCAAGCAAGACACAGAAUAUGUCCAAGUCAUCUUUUCUAUCAAUCAAGUUGCAAGUUUAGAAGUACGCCAGGAUUACAAGUCGAGAUAAAGAACUGGCCAAAAACUCGUAACUCGUUUCUUAAUACUUAACAAGAAAAAAUGUUGCGUUUGUUUCUCUUUUAGCAUUUUGAGCCUAUGGUCUGUUCAUUAAGAGCUGAAACCGAGAAACUAAUUUACGAACUUUGAUGGAUGGUCAUAAUCGUGGAUAGCGUAACUUUUACUAUUUUCUACUCUUAAUUUGGUUCUUGUAGCCAACAAAUAUGUUUCGUAAACGUGUUUAUAUGAUUUCCAGCCAGGCGGCAAAGACUAUAUAUCUGAACGACAGUGAGGUGGACAUAUUGUCCCGGACAAUGGUCGGAGGAACCUGUUGAGCACAAUAUCAAUAUAACAGAAAGACGAAAAGAAUCAAGCGUAAAUUUUGAGAUUUUGCCAAACAAAAACAUUUCUUUUUGUAUUUUAUAGCAAUAUGACGCAGUUGAACGGUGCCUGCGCGCAUAUUGGAAGUUGUUAAUCCCCAUAAAUAGGGUAAUACUUCUUGUAGUCAAGCGAGGAAACGCCAGCUAAAGGAUUUUCAUGUAAAUUAUGCGAUUUCCCCUGUGCAAAAUUCUUCCUUUUUGUAUCUUGUAGCUAAAUAACCGCAGUUGAAUGUGCCUGCGCAUAUCAGUCGGUAGCUUUCCAAAAUGAUAAAGGAUAAAGAUGCCGAGUCGGCGAGGAAGUGAAGACUUGGUACUUUACCAGGGGCACCCCUUAAAGACAUCAGCAACGAUAAAGGAUUUGUUACAGAAGUUUACUUUCUCUAUUUACCUCCAGCUUUAUUUCUAAGCAUGUCAUGUAUUAAUUGCAGUGACGUUUCUUGGUUGCUACCCUCUCGGAAAAGCGCACAUAAAACCGAAUACCCAUAGCAAAAUUUCUUGGGGCAAUGAGAAUGAAAUGCCAACUUGAAUGCAAAAUAACACCUCGACACUUGACCAACAUCAUCCCAGUCGAUAGAUAACCCUGUGAACUGAACUGAACUGAACUGUGAAGGUCAGCCCGACACUGAAUACAUCUUGAAUUGCUUAAAUAUGUUUUACAGCCAAAUGAAAAGACGAUAUUGAAGUACUUGCAUAAUAUACGUACAUUAAAGCCAUCAUCACAUAUUGCCAUCAUUAGAACAAGGAUAGGCCUUCCUUCUAUCACUUGGGAUUCAAUUCACGGCGUGAGAAAUUUGUUCGAUUACCAUUUUUGCUUUGCACUUUCACUUUUGCAGCGAUGUAUGAGACAGUUGAAUAAUGAGCUUAAGGCUACUGCAAAUUACGUUUUGGGAACGCUCUGGAGGUACAAUAUGUACACACGAAUUCUUUUUCUUUUCCAACUACUAGCUUUCACACUACAAAAUCGUUAAAGGGAAUCAAAAACGAUACAUCAAGUUCAUCCAGCUAGGUACAAUCUUCAAGCAAUGCCAGCACCACAACAACAAAAUGUUUAACAGCCGCUGCAGCUGCCUUUUGAUGGCCAAUGCGAGUCGAGUACAGAAAGAUUGGCGCUGAAUCACAGAUCCAAGUAGAUCGCUUUGUACCAUUGUACAAUUUAACGUUUUUACAUUACAGAAAACGUAAACUGCACGAUAUUGGGCAACAAUUGUCGUCUACUGGCUAAUGGCUAGUUGGUAGUUGAUGCACUCCAGCUCCUACGCACUCACGACCACUUAAACACGAGGAGCAGACUGUUCCCUCUAUUGAGGCGGCAUCACAGCCUAGCUCGGCCAAGACGAAGCUGGGUCAGCUCUCAGUCCAGCACGUAAUGCAUUGCACCGCAUAGAAAUAUGCGCUCGGUCCGCGCUAAAGGGAAACAAAUGCGUUUGGACCGAGACCCGCCACACCACACAAUCACCAGCACUCGCUUAAGAGGCGAGCUGAUGUGUUGUCGUUGUUAUCGGGCAGCUGCCUGCAAGUACGCUACCGGCAUUCAAGCAUCGUCGCCGCCGUCGCCUCGUCUCGCUUUCAGCAUUUUGUGCGUCCUGCAAAUGUAUGUAUUGUAGUAUGUGGUAGAGAAGCAGCUAUGAAGCCUUAACGAUCCGACCUGAGGAACUCGUGCUCGUGGCUUAUCGCAAAAGGGAAUCAAAUGCGACUAGUGUUCAAGCAUCAAAUUGAAUCCUGUGCAGCAGCAGUCGCGACAGAUGACAACGAUCAAGAGAUCGCAGAACAGACGGCGGUGGUGGUCGCACAUAUUUUUAACAGAAUAUAACCCCCCGGUAAUCAAAUCCAUCGCAAAGGGAAUCAAAUGCGAUUAGUGUUCGAUGACGAAGAAGCUAGCUAGUUGAAUCAGCUCUACGCUACGCUACGCUUCGAUUUGCCAGUUGAGCGCUUAACUCCUGGUGCACCGUUCAACAUUCCGCAAAUGGGAAACAAUUGCGAGGUGGUACUGCAGCAACGCACACACACACAGACACACUCUCACGCACACACAUGCGGGAUUACCUGUUAUGUGCCAGCCCAAAAAGAGCAUCCGAAUCCUCAAGAUGAAGAGCGCACCAUACAGCGAGCGAGCAAGCAAGCAGGCAGGCAGGGAAUCGAUGCCAGCAUCAUUUUGUAUAGCUGAUCUUUGUCGUCAUCUUUAUCCAUUUUGUUGUUGUUGUUGUUGGUGUGUACUUGUUUUUCAGAUAACUACUCUUCCAGCCUGGUCGACGUUCAGUCUGUCCAGCCAGCACACGUCAAGUUGUUCUCGAAGGGAAUCCAUGAGACACGCGCUACAUUUAUUUACAUGUAUCUUCUAUGUUAUUUUGCAUUUUUUUUUUUCGUUCUUUUUUGUAUCUUAGAUAUUUACGUAUUUUAGAUCAUACAAUGAAGUAUGUAUCUUUCCGUUGAGGCGAUCUCUAAUGCAAAAUGAAAAUCUUCUGGCCCAGAGCCUUUGUCAACUAUAAUAAUGUAUAUUGUACAGCCAUGUAAAUGUGCUCAAACAUGUUACCUUUUAAAAAUUGUAUAAGUUUUCGAUACUGGUAUUGUAAGAUUCAAUUGUAUUUGUAUUAUUGUAAAACUGUGACAUGUACAUAUUAGUAUGGCUUAAGAAACGGCAGGGACGAAUCGUUCGUAGAUGAACUCGACUGACGAGGAUCCCCUGGUGAUGUUCAGCCCGCCCGUAAUGUGAGAGAGUGAAGGAGCGACUUGAAUGAAACAACUUCAUUUCUCUACGGGCCUGCCCAUAUCUUUGUCUAUCGAUCUUCAGGGGCUCUCGAUGAGAGGGGAAGGGACGAGACAAUCAACCGUUCAAAUUUGGCUGGCAGAAAUAGCUACAACUCUGGGCGUACUUUUAAUUAUAACCUGAUCGACAAUUCAACCAUCCACCAUCCCAUGUGCUGAGAUUGAAUCUCUUCCGAGCUUGGUUGUUUUCCUAAGUCGAGUCAGAUGUCGGCGCAGCGCUUUUAAUCGACAUUUUCUUGUUGACGAGCUGGAGCUGCAAGGGUCCUUUAUAAUCAUCUUUUACGGCAUUGACGAUUUAUCACAAAACAAACACAUCUGCACGUACCUCUGGAGGUCUUCGUUAGGAACAAACCUUAAACUAGUUGGGAGCAUUUUCAUCUUUGUCACUACUGCAUCCAGUCCGAGGCAAAUAGGCAGAACUCAACCGAUUUUCGAACUACAAUUCUACUACUGCUACUACUAAUAUUGCGAAAACAAAUCAUCAUUUUCAUCGACACGACCGACCGCCUGCACAAAUCACCCUUCUCUUCGUACGAUGGCUAGCAUAUAUACGCAUAGGAUACUUUUUGAAUCUCUGGUUGGACAACUGCAGCCUCAACUUUAAGAAAUCUUGCUUCGCAUCGAUAAUACACACACAUUUCCCUGCAUUAGUGUUCGCUGGCAGCGAUAGGAACUUUCAUUAUUUUAUUCUGCUACUCCACUACUUUAUUCUACUACUCGACCCCCACACUAUAUGGCUGAAGAUGAGGCCGUUUAUUUCUGACGUUUUCUGAGAGGACAUCGUUUCGGGCAAUUAGGAUUUUUUUUGAGCAUUGAGAAUAUACUUUCUGACAUCUUGGAGCAACAACUGGUAUACUUUACGACGGCAGCGCGGGACUCAUAGAAUUGACUGCGGCGUGGGAUACCAUCAGAACUGACGGCGGCGAGGGAUUCGCAAAUUUUCGAUGUGGGACCUUUAGGGCUUCGGUUAGGCGAGGGCGCUAGGUACAACACUUCUAUAGGAUUAAUGAGGCGACGGUGUAUUGACUGCGGCGAGGGACUUUGCGGAGGACUUCGUGGGAUUUGCAAACUGACGGCGGCGGGGGAGUUGCGAGCGGACUGCUGCGUGGGAGCUCCUGACUGCGGCGUGGGAUCAUUGACGGCGGCGUGGGAGUUGCGCGACUGCAGCGUGGGAACAUUGACGGCGGCGUGGGAUUAUAUUCCAUUUUUAAAACAUCGGGGUUUGCUUUUCUUUAUGAUCAUCGUCGGUAUUCCCCAAGAACUACAACGUAGCGAAAAUCAUACGUUCAAAGCUGAUAUACUUACAUAAUUAGCUAUGCUCUACCUUUAUACAACCGUCAUCCAUAUAGAACCACCGACUUAGUGCUUAAUUGAACAUCAAUAACCUGCACCCUUGACCUAAUAACCCCAUGAGUGGAGCCAAUCAUCAUAUCAACAUAUCAACAUUUACUGUACUAUAUAAACGUUCCUGGAAUACCGGAAAGCAAUUUAACACGAUGAUCCAGAUAAUCUAAUGUCAUUUGAAAUCGGAUUAUCUGCGCAAUAAAUUUGGUUUGAAAGAA